UAUUGGUCAAUGGACGCAAGUCUGAACCAGCCAUGCCGCGUGGAGGAUGAAGGUCCUCUGGAUUGUAAACUUCUUUUAUCUGGGAAGAAAUCCAUAUUUUCUAAUGUGGUUGACGGUACCAGAUGAAUAAGCACCGGCUAACUCCGUGCCAGCAGCCGCGGUAAUACGGAGGGUGCAAGCGUUAUCCGGAUUCACUGGGUUUAAAGGGUGCGUAGGCGGGCAGAUAAGUCAGUGGUGAAAUCUCUGGGCUUAACCCAGAAACUGCCGUUGAUACUAUUUGUCUUGAAUAUCAUGGAGGUAAGCGGUAUAUGUCAUGUAGCGGUGAAAUGCUUAGAUAUGACAUAGAACACCGAUAGCGAAGGCAGCUUACUACAUGUUAAUUGACGCUGAGGCACGAAAAGCCGGUUGGGGCCGGCCAAACCAGGAAUUAGAAUACCCCUGGGUAGUCCCACGCCCCUAAAACGAUGGAUACUCGACAUCAGCGAUAUACUGUUUGGUGUCUGAGCGAAAGCAUUUAGUAUCCCACCUGGGUAGUACGACCGUCAGGGUUGAACUCAAAGGAAUUG
rnacentral:rRNA from 1 species